UGGCAUUAUUAUUUAUGGGUGAUAAUCUGAAUUUUUAUUUGAAAAUAAUUGAGUAUGAAUUCACUAGAAUGCCCUUGUAUGUGUGAAUAGGUGAAAAUUGGCCUUAGGGGCAAAAUGGUCUUUUGACCUUAUUUGAUUUACUUUAAUAAAAGCUGAAUUUUUGAGGAAAUGAAAUUAGAAAUUCUGGGUCCUCUCUCUCUCCUUAACCCGACCCCCUCUUCCUCUCUCUUUAUCAUCUUCAAUAUUUUACAACUUUGAAAUUAAGGCUUGGAUUGGAGAAAAGUUAAGGAGUUUGGGUGAUUUUGGUGCUUGGAGCUUAGAAAUUUGUGGAUUACCGGCACCUGAUCAGGAGCACCCAGGGAUUUGGAAUCUCUACUAUUGCGGGACAACAGGAAAGGGUAAGGCAUUAGCUGAUCAGCCAUGAGUUUCAGGAGCAGGGCGAAGAAUGUACAUGUUCAUGCCACUUCAGACCAAGCGGGUUAUGGGUCUAACAGUGUUGACUUUUGUAUUCUGUUUUGCCGCUUAGGUCGGCUAGUAAGAAAGAACUUGUAAUAAGUUUGUAAAUAUUUUUGGGAUCCCAACUAUUUUGAAAAGUUUAAAUAUAUUACAAGUUUAUUUUCAUUU